rnacentral:tRNA from 1 species
GGUAGAGAUCCGAAUGGUGAGGGGCCGUCUUGGAAAGACGGUAUGGCUGUAAAAGGCCUCGCGGGUUCGAACCCCGUCUCUACCGC